AUGCAUGCCUAAGUACAGCUCGGUUAUAACACCGGGCGAAACCGCAGACGGCUCAUUAAAUCAGUUGUUGUCUAAGUGGGCGACAGUUUUCCCUAGUUGGAUAACUGUGGAAAAUCCAGAGCUAAUACAUGCGACACCCAGUCCUUGCCUACAGCCGUACUUGUACGGAUAUGCGGUCGGGAUGCUUUUAUUAGACCAUAGCGCGCGCAUUAUGUUUGUCCCUUCUUUCUAGUGGGACCUACAUGUGCGGCACGUAACGUAAGCGCUGAAAGGUGACUCUGGAUAACAUUGAUAAGCGUCGCUUAAUUGAGACGCUGCCUACUUACGAGUGACUGACCUAUCAGCUACCUAUGUAUGUUAUACGCGAACACUGGCUCUGACGGGUAACGGGGAAUUAGAGUUCGAUUCCGGAGAGGCAGCCUGAGAAACGGCUACCACG
rnacentral:rRNA from 1 species